UCAGCCGAAGCCUGCCUUAGGACUGCCACAUCCUUCAUAAUUGUCCUGUAACAACUGAAGGUGCCAUCUGCUCAAGACAAGGGAAAGGAAGUUUUGUUCAGCAGGACAUAAAGACUGUAAAGAGGACCAAUGGCAGAUGAGGGUGUACUGAGGAGGAACUGUGACUGAUUUAAGAAAUCCUUCCCACCGCUAGCUCCUUUCUUGAAACCAGAUAGUUCCAGGACUGGAUCGCUCUCAUCCUUCACAUUUCUGCUCAAACGUCACUCUACGAGGCCUUUUCUGGUCAUCCCAAAAUAACAUCACCACUCAUCUUCGUGUGUGUGAGUAUGUGUACAUGUUAGUGGCAAAGGCACACAAAGCGCAGUGCAGAUUUAAAGCAUGUUUUGUAGCUUCUAUGAGGGCACACAGAAUGGGGGCUGCCUUCUUCUCCUCUCCUAUCCUGGGAGCCUUUGCCUAGCAGGGAACAAAUUCUUGCGAUGAAUGAGCGUGGUUCUUUGGGACCCUGCGUGUCGUUUCUACUUCCAACCGGUCCCUUCGCAGAAAUGGUUAACUGAAGUCAGGUACUUGGGUCUCAAUGCCCGGUCCACGGGUGCCACGUCCCCUGGGCCGAGCGCUUAGAGCAGGGAAGCGAAAGCAGGAAGGGGAAAGUCUCCGUGGAGGCAGCGGCCGCCUAUCGUAUCAGCUCGGGCGCACAGGGGCCUUCCCGGCCGGGCUGACUCAUUCCCAGCCGUCUCCUCGGCGAGCGGAGGCCGCAGGCACGCUGCGCCAACCCGCACCCGCCCCGCUCCUCCUCCUCCUCCUCCUCCUCCUCCCCGCGCGCUCUCGCCUGGGGGCUGCCCCGGGAAUCUCCACGCGCGCCUCCGCUUCUCCGGAGCCCGGCCCCGCGGGCGGCGCAGGCGCAGUGGGGCGUGUCGGCCCCCGCCCCCCCACUCCCCUUCCCACCUCCACCCCCGCCGAUUAGCCCGCGCCCGGCUCCGCUGCUCCGGGCCGCUUUCCCGAGGCUGCGCCUGGACGGAGCCCGCCGCGCAGG